UGAAGAUCUAAAAAGAAGCAACUACUGAAGUGUGGUGCAGACUCUAAAAGGAGGGCAAUGUAGACACCAGCAAGGAGCCACAGAGUGCGCCACAAGGCAGAAGAGGAAGGGCAGAGCAGGAGAGAGAAAGCCCAAGGAAAAGGAGCAGAGGGAGAGAACAUCACCAAGAACUGAAGGGAAGCGCGUCCACAGGCAAAGAGGAGAGUCCACAGACAGGGGGAGCUGUGAGCCAUGCCCCACAGCUCUGACAGCAGUGACUCCAGUAGUUUCAGCCAGUCAUCUUCAUCCAGCAAACAGGAGUCUUCUGAUGACAUGAGGAAAGUACAAAGAAGGGAAAAAAACCGCAUUGCAGCCCAGAAGAGCCGGCAGAGACAGACACAGAAAGCAGACACCCUGCACUUGGAGAGUGAAGACUUGGAGAGGCAGAACGCUGCUUUACGCCGGGAAAUCAAACAACUGACAGAGGAAAUGAAGCACUUCUCCACGAUGCUGAAUUCCCAUGAGACUCACUGCUCCAUCCUCCAUACACAGCCCCCAGCACCCUCUGAAGUCCUUUACACCCCCGUCCCCUUUCCCCAGGCCCACAUCAGUUCCCCGAUUUUCCAGCACUGACACCGACUGCUAGGACUGGAAACGCUUGCAGACCCCACACCAAGGCAGAAAUGCAAGUCCUUGCACGCUUCACAACUAUGGACAGUUUGGAGGUUUCCCAUCCAUCUGUUGGUAGAUGCUGCCCUGAAUAAGGAAGAAAAAUGCUUAGAAUGUGCUCCUUGGGCAGAAACAGGGGCAUGUCAGGGCUACCUGCAGGAAGCUGUAUUUGUGAAUUAGCUCCAGAGUCAAUGGAACCAAUACCUCACUGUUAUGCAUUUGCACUGAAAUACUCCUUCCAGAGGCUUUUCUGAUGCAGAAGUUUCUUCCUCAGAAAACAUAUGCUAAUCAGCCUACAAAUGAUGCAUAAUUUAGGGUAGACAGUGCUGAAAGUUACAUUGGUGCUGCUAUUGGGAGUUUGAAAUCUUUGC